ensembl:lncRNA
AUGUAUGGUUUGUUAGGAUCAGACAAAAUCUGGAAUCUAAGGGUGCAAAAAAAAUCAAAAUAUCCAAAAAUCACCUUUAAAGAUGUCCAAAUGAAGUUCUUAGCAAUGCAUAUUACUAAUCAAAAAUUAAGUUUAAAAAUCAAUAAUUAUAGAAAUAUUAGACAACAGCAGUCCAGUCAAAUGCACUAUACGCAUCUGCUAAAGCUUUGUGUGAAUGAAACUGAAUUUAAUACAUUGGCUGAAAAUCUUCAUUACAGCUCUGAAAUCUCAAAAAUAGAAAGCCGUACGAGUAAGAAACGACAUGAUGGGUUGUCCGUUUCAGAGUGGUUGGACUGCAGAGACGAGCUGAAAUCCCAGAUCUGGAUGCGCUCCAUCAGGGACCCAGUAAAGGCUUUGAGGAGUGAACACAGCACUUCCUGCACCAGACUUUUAUUAGGCUGCGCUCAAGUGCACCAAGUCUCACCAUGAGCUUCAACCGUUUCCAUGCUCAGCAGACUCGGUGGCUCCCGUUGGCCUCGGACGUCACCGAUGCCUGCAGCCUGCCAGAUAAUAACCGCACGGUUUGCGCAGGUCAGUUUUCAUUCUGAUUACGAAUUGGUUGUUUUAAGACAUCCUAUGCACUUCUAUCCGACUGCACACGGGGAAGAAAUGAUGAUGAACGCCGGCUCCGGUUGCGUCUGGCCCCUUGAAUCGGGAGUGUCACGAUGCCAUGAAGUCAUUGCAAUUAUCUGCCCGUCUAGAUCCAGCGUUAGUGCUCUUUCUCAAAGCGAAGUGAGCAAUGUAAUUUCUCGAACAUUCCCAGUUGAUGCUGUUGAGGUCAUGAUUAUGACUAGUGUCUUUAAAUGUCUGAAACACAAAGCAGAUUGUUGCAACAGCCUCAUAAAUCAUCAGGAAAGGUAUUGACUAAUGUGGAGUCUCGAAGGGGGGCAGAAAGCCGCUUGGGAAAGGCUGCAAAGGUUUUAAUUAUGGGCUCGUAAAAUGUGUAACUUCUUGAAAAGGGGCGGCUUUUCCCUUUCUCAUUCUGCACAAUCGCUUUCCCUCGACCGCUUCUUCCCAACGUGGGUGCAAGUUUCCCAUAAGUGACUCACGUACAGGAACGCAGCAUCUGCAGACGACUGGAGCUUCACACCUCAGUGGCUAAAUCAACUUGCUUGUGUGACUGGCAGAAGGAGAGGCUUCCUGAGCAGGUGUCUGGAUUUUCACAGGUCCGGCGUGUCGUGUCCCAACAGAGUUCCCAAUCUGCGGGAUUCAUCGCAGGCUGGCAGGCGCUCCGGGUCUCGCUGUCACGUAUCACACCCGAACAAACACGAGCAGAGCUCUUGUAAGGUCGUGUUGUCUGUUCCUAAGAAUAACCGGAUGAAUUGAGCAUUGUGCAGAGAAGAACCUGGAAGAGUUUUUGAUGUCUCCGUCCUCACUGCGCGAGCAGUUCUACAUGAUUCCCGUACGCAGCGGUUGGCAGAGAGGACGGUGAACUCUUAGGCCCGAAAUCAGUAACUGAGAAACUGAGAAAAUAGCCUUCCUGCAGCUCAAACAGUAGAGCAGGCCGCUAUUGAUUCCCAGGAAUUCCCAUUGAAAGCAAGAACUGAUCAAAUGUCUCUUUGGAUAAAAGUGUCUGUCAAAUGCAUUAAUGUAAAUGAAAAAAAUAUGACCUAGAGUACAUUCAGUAAAGGCACAAUCGCUUCAUUUUUCAUUUAUCAGCUUCGUUCAAUAUUGAAUAUUUAUUUGUACAUGCAACUCCCCUGUUUUUGCAUCUCACUUAUUCUUAAUAAAAAACACUAAUAAUUGAAUAACA